UACGUAGGGUGCAAGCGUUGUCCGGAAUUAUUGGGCGUAAAGAGCUCGUAGGCGGUCUGCCGCGUCAGCUGUGAAAACUCGGGGCUCAACCCCGAGCCUGCAGUCGAUACGGGCAGACUAGAGUGCUGUAGGGGAGACUGGAAUUCCUGGUGUAGCGGUGAAAUGCGCAGAUAUCAGGAGGAACACCGGUGGCGAAGGCGGGUCUCUGGGCAGUAACUGACGCUGAGGAGCGAAAGCGUGGGGAGCAAACAGG
rnacentral:rRNA from 1 species